rnacentral:rRNA from 1 species
CUCAAAGAUUAAGCCAKGCAAGUGGUUUGCUACCCGACGGUUUGAAUAAGUGUUCACGCAACAACUUUAAAACCUGACGGGCACUCACACACACACACACACACACACCUGCUUCAACACACUCGUUUUGCUCUGCGGCUCCCGCCAAGCCCUUACAGGGCCUGUGCUGGUUUGAGCACCGCGGCAGAACAGAGGCAAUUUCAAUGUGAGUGUUCUUCUGUUUCGGUGCCGAAUAUGUGUGCUUACGCGCGCAUGGCAAGCAUCGUGCACGAGGUUCACUUACGCAACUGCAGACAGCUGCUUAAUACAGUCACACUUGUCUUGACUUGGCACGAAAACAAACUGGAUGGUCAUUGCGCACAUGCACAUACACACACACACGUGCAUAUUGUGUAAACGGCUAGUACAGUUCUGUACGCUCGCCCUGCAGACCUUCCAUUUGUUGUUUCCUUGCGGCAACGCUGCCUCAUCAACAACUUUUGGAUAACUCAGGGAAAGUUUGGCUAAUACGUACGAGAUCUUAUUCCCAUGUGGUACACCACCAAUCCUGUGGGUUUGCAUUUGCUCAGCUGGUGCGCUGCAAUGCUUGCUGCUCUUAUACACACACACGUGCAGCCAUGUUGGCGCAGCGCGCACACCAAACAACUGGGCGUCUUGUGCAGAUCGGCACACAAGGGGGCGUGGUUGUUCCUUUGGCUCUUAUUGGACGCGUGUCCCGACUCCGCGCCUCUGCGCGCGAGAGAAAGCUCUCACUUGCACCAUGAGAGACAAUAAGAGCGCGUUCGGGGGCUCCGCUCACGCGGGGCGCUCUAGUCGAGCGGACUUGCGAGGAGUCAUACUUGCAAGCGUGUCAUACAAGCAUCUACAGCAUCAAGUCACAGGGUCGGCAAGUGUACUAUUGAACCUUCAAAGCAGUCACGCAUACGGAAGAGUAGUUUCUGAUCCCAUAGAAGGAGCACAGGACUCUGAGAGACCGCUCUUAGUUCUAAGGAACGCAGCAGGCGCGUAAAUUGCCCAAUGCUAGUCCCUUUCCCUUGUUAUCGGGGGAUCGGCGCUGGUGGGAACAAACAAAUAGUCAGCAAUUGGCAAUGGGCAUGUUACACACACACGACUGUCCAACUGCCCAACGGCUGGCCAGCUCUCUGGUAUUGUCGUUGUCGUUGUACCCUCGGGUGCACGCAUCGUCUCUACGAGAAGUUGAAGCAAACACAAACCACUGACUGCGUCUGGUUGGGCCCAUGUUCCACGUGGGUUCGACUGGCGCAUACACACACAAACCUUGUUCACUCACCCGUUGAGCGGCAGGGCGUUUGGUCAGCUGCGAGAGCAGCCUCCACUCGUUCCCCUGUUGCCGUCGGUGUACCUCGAUGCUUCCAUUGAGGCAGUGACAAGCUGUAACUUUUGAGUAUCAAAACAGACAAGGACCUGGCAUUGCCCCUCCGGGGUUGCAGUUGCCGGUCCUUUGUGUGCUCAAUUGGAAUGCGGUGAGUCUAAGCAAUUCAGAAACCUGGUUACGUUUUCGGACGUGACUCGUAUCUGAACUUCAAGUGGAGGGCAAGUCUGGUGCCGCGGUAAUACCAGCUCCACUGGCCUAUACAAUCAUUGUUGCGGUUAAGAGGCUCGUAGUUGGAUUGAACUGCAUAGAAUAAUUUUCUAUCAGUACUUAAAAACAUAAUAUUUUAUUACAUACGCUUGAAAACACACCACACACCCACAAGCGUAAAUAUUUUAUUAUGUUUCGACGCUGUUAUUUAUUUAUGUAUGUAUAUACGUAAAUAAUGACAUGUAUGUGAUUUAACACUCACUAUUGUGCGUAAGAUAGAGAAUUUAUUUUCUAUUAUUACCAUUUCAACACUGUGAACAAACCAGAGUGUAUCAAACAUGUCGUUUUUGAAUGUGCAUUGAAUGUCUUAUCAUGGGAUGUUGCACUUUCAUAUACUGGUUAAUUAAGAUUAUGCACUACUACACACACCACAUAUGUGCUAUAUAUUUUUAUUAGCCUAUACUAACAUAUCUUUUUUAACGGUUAAAAAAUGUCGAUGGGAUAGUUGGAGUCAACAGUACUGCUGGGCGAGAGGUGAAAUUCAUUGACCCUAGCAAGACUACCAAAAGCGAAAGCAGUUGGCUAGGCUAUACUCUUUGUGAUUUAUUUUUUUAUGCACACAACAGUAUAUCUAUUAUUAAAUAUAUAUUAUUUACGUUAAAACUACACACACAACCCAUAUAUAACGUAUAUAUAUAUAUUUAAGAUAUAUGCCCGUGAGUAUUUUAAAAAAAAUACACUUUACAAUGAAGAACGAAGGUUGGGGGAUCAAAGAGGAUCAGAUACCCUCGUCGUCCCAUUAAUUACAUCAAACGAUGGGCUCUCAAUUGCAUUUUUUUCAUUAAAUUGCAAAUUUCCUCAGCCUACAAAAUAACUGGGCUUGAGCUCGUGUUAUUUUUUAUGACACGCUCGCCUAAAUUUUUUCGUAUGGUCUCGAUGUGACGUUUCAUUUAUAUAUUUAUUUGCGUGUAAGCAUUAUGUUAUUCUUUGAAAUACAAGAAUGCAUUGCGUGCACUUGAUUUUCGGAGCUUUGCGCUCAAUUCUGGUGAGAUGUAAGCACUAUGUUAUUCUACCCGCAGUGUAUGUUAACAUAUUUUUGUCUUUAAUUAAUUUUUUUACCGCUACUCUGUAUGUAAUAAUUAUUAUUGUACAUUAAUCUAACAUUUCAUCUGUUGUGUGUGGGAUUAACAAUUUCGGUGUGAAGCACGCAUUAGGCACGCGCUUACUGCAGAAAUGUCUGAGACACUCUCCUCCGGGGGUAGUAUGCACGCAAGUGUGAAACUUGAAGGAAUUGACGGAAGGGCACCACAAGAACGCGUGGAGCAUGUGGCUUAAUUUGACUCAACGCGGGAAAUCUUACCGGGUCCGGACACACUGAGGAUUGACAGGCAAUAUUAAUAAUUUAUUUUUUCUGUGUGUUUACUCACAUCAGUAAUAUAUUUUAUUAUGUUAAAUAUGCUAGUCCUUUCAUGAUUAUGUGAUAGGUGGUGCAUGGCCGUUCUUAGUUCGUGGAGUGAUCUGUCUGCUUAAUUGCGUUUCACUAAGGGCCUAGAAAUUUACGUAUGUUGCGACACUUUGACCCCUCCUUGUGUGCGUGCGUCUUUGUUUGUUUAGCUCAUACAAAUAGGUCCUGAAAGCAACGAACGUGACCGCAACCUCUUGUUGCUUUCGUAUAUAUAUGAUACAUGUAUUUUAUUAUACUAGUAUAAUAUAUUAUACAUACUGCAUAUAUAAUAUUAUGUGUUCAUUGUCACUAACUAAAAAUAUAAGACUUGUCUUUUUUUUUAUGUUGUGUAGUGUCUUUACAUAUUUUGUAUAUCUUUAUGCACAGAAAGCUUUUAAACUAGAGGGACCGCUGUUACUUUCUUAAACCAGAGGAAGGUUGCGGCAAUAACAGGUCUGUGAUGCCCCUUAGAUGUUCCGGGCUGCACACGUGCUACAAUGAUUAUUGCCAGUGAGCAUCUCAUUUUAUUAUUCACACCGCAUGCGCGAGACCAUUUAUUCUCUCUUCGCGAGUGUUUUAAAUGUGUAUCUCUGCGCGCGGUAAAGCCUACUUCGAAAGUAAGCGGGUAAUCAAUUAGAAGUAAUGAUUUCCUAUAUUUUAUUGUAUCAUUUUUUUGGUAUAGUAAUUCUGCACACAUAUAUACGGCAUCUUUACCCGGGUAGCCUUGUUGUUACUUUUUGUGCGUAUCGAUGUUUUUUUCCGUAUGUGCGAUUGUCAAUUCAUGGUGGGGACAGACCAUUGUUAAUUGUUGGUCUCGGUCUUAACUAGGAAUGCCUUGUACGGGUCUUUGGUUCAACAAACCACCCGGAAUACGUCCCUGCCCUUUGUACACACCGCCCGUCGCUCUUACCGAUGGACUUCUCUGUGAGUUUGAGGGACUGGGAACGCAUGUAAUAAAUUUUAUUUAUUUAUGCACACCUAUGGAAACUUAAACGAACAGUGUGGUCUAAAGGAAAGAGAAGUCGUAACAAGGCAUCCAGUAGGUGAACCU